GGCAUGGUGUAGUGGUAUGAACAUUAGACUAGGACUCUGGAGAUCAGGGUUUAAUUCCUUGCUUGGCCA
rnacentral:tRNA from 1 species